CAUACAUGCACACAACGCUCAACGCUGGUUAGUUUUUGUUUUUUUUAAUAUGUUUUAAAAACCUUCGUUCCUCCUCAAUUCCGUUACCGUCACCGUCACUGUCCACCUUCCGUUUAUCUCAUCCUCACCGUUCGUACUCUCCGAUCUAGCUCACCGUCGUUCACCGUAUGAUGGACUCCGCUCACGAUUCCUUUUCGCCGGGGUCUUCUCGUCCUUCGCCGUCGACUCUUUCUCGUGAAGAUUGCUGGAGCGAGGAAGCCACCUUCACGCUCAUCCAAGCCUGGGGUAAUCGCUUCGUUGAGCUUAGCCGUGGCAAUCUCCGUCAGAAACACUGGCAAGAGGUCGCUAACGCCGUCAACGACCGUCACUUUAACUCCGGCCGAAACGUUUCCGCCGCCAAAUCGCAGCCGUAUCGCACCGACGUUCAGUGUAAAAACCGGAUCGAUACUUUGAAGAAGAAGUACAAAGUCGAGAAGGCUAGGGUUUCGGAAUCCAAUCCCGGCUCCUACAUCAGCCCUUGGCCUUUCUUCUCCGCUCUCGAUGACCUUCUCCGGGAAAGCUUUCCGACGUCUAGUACUCCAGAUUCAACUGAUAACAACCACCCUAACCAGAGGCUAUCACUUCCGAUGGCGAUUAUUCCAGUUCCGGUCGCUCCACGAUCGGCGAUCCCCAGACGUCCGGCGACGUCGCCGGCGAUUAUACCUCACGUCGGCGACGAUUUACUCGGAUUCCGCGGAAAUCUUAACGCAUUCGCGGCAGCCGCGGCGGCGGCGGCGUGUCCGGCGUCUGAGGAUGAUUCGGAAGGUUCAAGGUCCAGAUCGAGCGGUCGUAGCGGAAGUAACAAGAAGCGGGAGAGGGAAAUUGAGAAGAAGCAAGGUUACAAAGAAGUUGCCGACGCAAUUGAGAGGCUUGGACAGAUAUACGAGAGGGUCGAGGAGAGGAAAAGGAAGGAGAUGGUGGAAUUGGAGAAGCAGAGAAUGAGAUUUGCCAAGGAACUGGAAUGCCAUAGGAUGCAGCUCUUCACUGAGAUGCAGGUUCGUCUUCACAAGAUCCGGCGUACCUCUGGCCCCAAAGGACCGACUUCCUCCGCCUCCGCCGCUCUUCAGUAUGGGAUGAUGGAUUUCCCGAGUUACUUGUAAGGGUUUGUGUAAUCCGUUCGAACUCUAAAGGUGAAGAAACAAAAAUCCGAGGCCACACGGCUCGAUGAGAUUGUUCGAACAAUGUAGCGUUUGGGGGUGCUGCUAAUUCGCUCUCUCAGCUCUAUACCCACGGCAUGAACCACCAACGCGUCUCUUUCCUCGCCGGUGAACGUCGCGGCAUGGUCUAUUCUGAGAAACUUUACCAAUGGGUUGUGAGACAAGAAGAACAAGGAACUAGAGUACCCACAAUUUAUAUUAUUACCUACUUGCAGGUUCUUUCCUUUGAAACAGUAUCUGGUUUGUGAUUAUGCUUUGUACUCAAGCUUCAAACUUGUGCUUACUUAAUUGGUCUUUAGAUUGAUUAUAUACCACCUCUCGUGAAUCUACCUUUGUUUGACUAGCUUCGAAUACUACACGUCCAAAGUUCUUGAAUUUGAUCUGAAAAGUUAUUCA